rnacentral:rRNA from 1 species
GCCUACGGGGGGCAGCAGUAGGGAAUCUUCCACAAUGGGCGAAAGCCUGAUGGAGCAACGCCGCGUGGGUGAAGAAGGUCUUCGGAUCGUAAAACCCUGUUGUUAGAGAAGAAAGUGCGUGAGAGUAACUGUUCACGUUUCGACGGUAUCUAACCAGAAAGCCACGGCUAACUACGUGCCAGCAGCCGCGGUAAUACGUAGGUGGCAUGCGUUAUCCGGAUUUAUUGGGCGUAAAGGGAACGCAGGCGGUCUUUUAAGUCUGAUGUGGAAGCCUUCGGCUUAACCGGAGUAGUGCAUUGGAAACU